rnacentral:rRNA from 1 species
AGCGAACGCUGGCGGCAGGCCUAACACAUGCAAGUCGAACGAAGUCUUCGGACUUAGUGGCGGACGGGUGAGUAACACGUGGGAACGUGCCUUUAGGUUCGGAAUAACUCAGGGAAACUUGUGCUAAUACCGAAUGUGCCCUUCGGGGGAAAGAGUUAUCGCCUUUAGAGCGGCCCGCGUCUGAUUAGCUAGUUGGUGAGGUAAAGGCUCACCAAGGGGACGAUCAGUAGCUGGUCUGAGAGGAUGAUCAGCCACAUUGGGACUGAGACACGGCCCAAACUCCUGCGGGAGGCAGCAGUGGGGAAUCUUGCGCAAUGGGCGAAAGCCUGACGCAGCCAUGCCGCGUGAAUGAUGAAGGUCUUAGGAUUGUAAAAUUCUUUCACCGGGGACGAUAAUGACGGUACCCGGAGAAGAAGCCCCGGCUAACUUCGUGCCAGCAGCCGCAGUAACAC